rfam:Enterobacter sp. 638, complete genome.
GGUGGGGUUCCCGAGCGGCCAAAGGGAGCAGACUGUAAAUCUGCCGUCAUCGACUUCGAAGGUUCGAAUCCUUCCCCCACCA